UCGAGAAUUUUUCACAAUGGGCGAAAGCCUGAUGGAGCGACGCCGCGUGGGGGAUGAAUGGCUUCGGCCCGUAAACCCCUGUCAUUUGCGAACAAACCUUUCCGGUUAACACCCGGAGAGCUGAUUGUAGCGGAAGAGGAAGGGACGGCUAACUCUGUGCCAGCAGCCGCGGUAAUACAGAGGUCCCGAGCGUUGUUCGGAUUCACUGGGCGUAAAGGGUGCGUAGGUGGUGAGGUAAGUCGGAUGUGAAAUCUCCGGGCUCAACCCGGAAAUGGCAUUGGAAACUACCUUGCUUGAGGAUUUGAGGGGGGAUUGGAAUACUUGGUGUAGCAGUGAAAUGCGUAGAUAUCAAGUGGAACACCAGUGGCGAAGGCGAAUCCCUGGAAAAUACCUGACACUGAGGCACGAAAGCUAGGGGAGCAAA
rnacentral:rRNA from 1 species